AUUGAACGCUGGCGGCAGGCCUAACACAUGCAAGUCGAACGAGUGGCGGACGGGUGAGGAAUACAUGGGAAUCUAGUCUGUCGUGGGGGAUAACGAAGGGAAACUGUCGCUAAUACCGCAUACGAUAGGAUGAGCCGAUGUGGGAUUAGCUAGUUGGCGGGGUAAAGGCUCACCAAGGCGACGAUCCGUAGCUGGUCUGAGAGGAUGACCAGCCACACUGGAACUGAGACACGGCCCAGACUCCUACGGGAGGCAGCAGUGGGGAAUAUUGCGCAAUGGGCGCAAGCCUGAUCCAGCCAUGCCGCGUGGGUGAAGAAGGCCUUCGGGUUGUAAAGCCCUUUCGGUGGGAAAGCGGUACCCAAAGAAGAAGCACCGGCUAACUCCGUGCCAGCAGCCGCGGUAAUAC
rnacentral:rRNA from 1 species